rnacentral:rRNA from 1 species
UUGGUUGGCCUUCCGGGAACGUCUGACACAGGUGCUGCAUGGCUGUCGUCAGCUCCGUGUCGUGAGAUGUUGGGUUAAGUCCGUAACGAGCGCAACCCUUGUCCUUAGUUACCAGCACGUUAUGGUGGGCACUCUAAGGAGACUGCCGGUGACAAACCGGAGGAAGGUGGGGAUGACGUCAAGUCAUCAUGGCCCUUACGGCCUGGGCUACACACGUGCUACAAUGGUCGGUACAAAGGGUUGCCAAGCCGCGAGGUGGAGCUAAUCCCAUAAAACCGAUCGUAGUCCGGAUCGCAGUCUGCAACUCGACUGCGUGAAGUCGGAAUCGCUAGUAAUCGUGAAUCAGAAUGUCACGGUGAAUACGUUCCCGGGCCUU